AUUGCUAGUUCAGGUAAGAUUGUCCGUUUUGUGGAUUCAAAAUUUUUUUUUCUACUUGAAUAACGGUAAUAAGGGUUAAAUAAGGAUUAUAUGUAUAUGUACCAGGAUUGAAGGAUUACUCGUAGCCCGUAGGCCUUGCCAGUUUCACCAGAACAGGUGGGCGAGCAAAGGCUCAGCCAAGAGGGGGGGAAUUUGCUAACAGCUGCCCGAGCGCCUCCGAAGGAGACCUAGCAACUCCAAAACAGCUGCUUCGAGAAUGAAUUUACUACCGGAUCGGAAGCGCGACCCGCUGAGAAGAUCCGGAGAGAAACUCAGCGAGCUGAUUUUGUGAGAAGAUAAGGAAUGGUGUUUAUAAAUUCAACAAUGUUUAAACAUAGUGAAUCCUACCAGGAAUAUCUGGUUACCGUGUUGAAUUUCCUGAAUUACAAUACAAUUAUGCAUAUAA